AUUGAACGCUGGCGGCAGGCUUAACACAUGCAAGUCGAGCGGGGUGAUGGUGCUUGCACUAUCACUUAGCGGCGGACGGGUGAGUAAUGCUUAGGAAUCUGCCUAUUAGUGGGGGACAACAUCUAGAAAGGGAUGCUAAUACCGCAGACGUCCUACGGGAGAAAGCAGGGGAUCACUUGUGACGUUGCGCUACAAGAUGAGCCUAAGUCGGAUUAGCUAGUUGGUGGGGUAAAGGCCUACCAAGGCGACGAUCUGUAGCGGGUCUGAGGGGAUGAUCCGCCACACUGGGACUGAGACACGGCCCAGACUCCUACGGGAGGCAGCAGUGGGGAAUAUUGGACAAUGGGGGGAACCCUGAUCCAGCCAUGCCGCGUGUGUGAAGAAGGCCUUAUGGUUGUAAAGCACUUUAAGCGAGGAGGAGGCUCUUUUGGUUAAUACCCAAGAUGAGUGGACGUUACUCGCAGAAUAAGCACCGGCUAACUCUGUGCCAGCCGCCGCUGUAA
rnacentral:rRNA from 1 species